UACGGGAGGCAGCAGUGGGGAAUAUUGCACAAUGGGCGCAAGCCUGAUGCAGCCAUGCCGCGUGUAUGAAGAAGGCCUUCGGGUUGUAAAGUACUUUCAGUCGUGAGGAAGGUGUUAAGGUUAAUAACCUUAGCAAUUGACGUUAGCGACAGAAGAAGCACCGGCUAACUCCGUGCCAGCAGCCGCGGUAAUACGGAGGGUGCGAGCGUUAAUCGGAAUUACUGGGCGUAAAGGGCACGCAGGCGGUUAAUUAAGUUGGAUGUGAAAUCCCCGGGCUUAACCUGGGAAUGGCAUUCAAGACUGGUUAGCUAGAGUCUUGUAGAGGGGGUAGAAUUCCAUGUGUAGCGGUGAAAUGCGUAGAGAUGUGGAGGAAUACCGGUGGCGAAGGCGGCCCCUGGACAAAGACUGACGCUCAUGUGCGAAAGCGUGGGGAGCAAACAGGGAUUAAUACC
rnacentral:rRNA from 1 species